ensembl:snRNA U6 U6 spliceosomal RNA
GUGCUUGCUUCGGCAGCACAUAUACUAAAAUUGGAACGAUGCAGAGAAGAUUAGCGUGGCCCCUGCGCAAGGAUGAACCACAAAUUCGUGAAGCGUUCCACAUUUUU